GGUUGCGAUCAUACCAGCACUAAAGCACCGGAUCCCAUCAGAACUCCGAAGUUAAGCGUGCUUGGGCGAGAGUAGUACUAGGAUGGGUGCCCUCCUGGGAAGUCCUCGUGUUGCAUUCC
rnacentral:rRNA from 2 species